UUAAAUGGCCGCGGUAUUUUGACCGUGCUAAGGUAGCAUAAUCAUUAGUUUUUUAAUUGAAAGCUAGAAUGAAGGGUUUGAUGAAAAAUUUACUGUCUUCAUUUUAAUUUAUUAAAAUUUUAUUUUUAAGUUAAAAAGCUUAAAUUUUAUUAAAAGACGAGAAGACCCUAUAGAGUUUUAUAAAAUAUUUUUUAUUAUUAUUUAGGAUUUAAUUUUUAAUAUAAGAUUUAUAUUUAAUUGGGGUGAUUAAAAAAUUAAAUAAACUUUUUUAUAUUUUAUAUAAUUAAAUAUGUAUUUGAUCCAUUAAUGUUGAUUAUAAGAAUAAAUUACCUUAGGGAUAACAGCGUAAUUUUAUUGGAGAGUU
rnacentral:rRNA from 1 species